CUACAUGUGUAUAUCUAUGUGCCUCUACACAUCUGUGCAUGUGCCUUUGUGUUCACUUUAAAAUCAUGUACUGUGUCUUGUCCACAGGCAGAGAUCAGUAGCCUUCAGCAGCUUCUGCUCAGUAAGAAUGCCGAGAUCGAGAGCUUGCACACUCAGCUCCUGGCCAGACCCUCUCUUUCUGCUGAGAGCUCAGACAGAGAUCAGGAACUGCAGAGGCUUAGGAGUGGAAUGGACUCACUGUUAGCUGCCAAUGAUGAGAAGGACCGCCGCAUUGAGGAGCUCACUCUGCUGCUGAACCAGUGCAGGCAAUUCAGAGAGGUCACUCACAACACAAGGCAAGCUCCACCUGCUGUCCAUUCAAUGACAAAUGGCAGGACUCCAUCAAGCAGCAGUGAAGAAGAAGAGCAGGGAGUGACAAAGAAUACUGACUCUGCUAGUGCCAAAUCUGAGGAUAUAAAGUCAGAGGUGGGUAAAAAACAAAUUCCAGCUGGCCUUAUAUGCUAUAUGCAUGAGGAGAGGAAUGGAUUCUUAUUGUUAAGCUACUAGACCUACCUA
rnacentral:lncRNA from 1 species